rfam:Desulfitobacterium dichloroeliminans LMG P-21439, complete genome.
GCGCUCGUAGCUCAGCUGGAUAGAGCGUCUGACUACGAAUCAGAAGGCCGGGAGUUCGAAUCUCUCCGAGCGCA